AUGCUUAGUACGGCGAGUGAAGCGGCAAAAGCUCAAAUUUGAAAUCUGGCACCUUCGGUGUCCGAGUUGUAAUUUGAAGAAGGUAACUUUGGAGUUGGCUCUUGUCUAUGUUCCUUGGAACAGGACGUCACAGAGGGUGAGAAUCCCGUGCGAUGAGAUGCCCAAUUCUAUGUAAAGUGCUUUCGAAGAGUCGAGUUGUUUGGGAAUGCAGCUCUAGUGGGUGGUAAAUUCCAUCUAAAGCUAAAUAUUGGCGAGAGACCGAUAGCGAACAAGUACAGUGAUGGAAAGAUGAAAAGAACUUUGAAAAGAGAGUGAAAAAGUACGUGAAAUUGUUGAAAGGGAAGGGCUUGAGAUCAGACUUGGUAUUUUGCGAUCCUUUCCUUCUUGGUUGGGUUCCUCGCAGCUUACUGGGCCAGCAUCGGUUUGGAUGGUAGGAUAAUGACUAAGGAAUGUGGCUCUACUUCGGUGGAGUGUUAUAGCCUUGGUUGAUACUGCCUGUCUAGACCGAGGACUGCGUCUUUUGACUAGGAUGUUGGCAUAAUGAUCUUAAGCAACCCGUCUU
rnacentral:rRNA from 1 species